rnacentral:sRNA from 1 species
AAGAGGUUCGACUCGAGCGAAGCGAGAGAACGUUGCGUCAGCAACGGCCCGCAGGGCGAGCCACGCAGUGGCGAGUCAUCCUCUCCUGGCGCCUG